GAUGAACGCUGGCGGUAUGCUUAACACAUGCAAGUCGAACGGUACCUUCGGGUAUAGUGGCGGACGGGUGAGUAACGCGUGAGAAUCUAUCUUCAGGUCGGGGACAACAGUUAGAAAUGACUGCUAAUACCGGAUGUGCCGAAAGGUAAAAGAUUUAUUGCCUGAAAAAGAGCUCGCGUCAGAUUAGCUAGUAGGUGGUGUAAGAGACUACCUAGGCUUCGAUCUGUAGCUGGUCUGAGAGGACGAUCAGCCACACUGGAACUGAGACACAGUCCAGACUCCUACGGGAGGCAGCAGUGGGGAAUUUUCCGCAAUGGGCGAAAGCCUGACGGAGCAAUACCGCGUGAGGGACGAAGGCUCUUGGGUCGUAAACCUCUUUUCUCAAGGAAGAUUCAGACGGUACUUGAGGAAUAAGCAUCGGCUAACUCUGUG
rnacentral:rRNA from 1 species